AUUUAUAUAGUUUAAAUAAAACAUUUCAUUUUCAAUGAAAAAAAAAUUAAUAAUAAUUUAUAAAUA
rnacentral:tRNA from 1 species